rnacentral:lncRNA from 1 species
UGACUCUCACCAGGACUCACUCACUCACAUUGACUUCAGAUAUAAUAUUAAUUUAGACUAACUACUAACAAUCCAUACAUGCUUACUUCCCCAACUAAGAUUAUAUCAUUUAAUAUGUACAUUCCUCAAAAUAAUAAAUUUGUAUGACUUUACGUCAAAUACAAAACAUUCACCAAGGUAGAAUUCCAAAUUUUGAGCUUAUACUACCGGCUUCCCCUAUACCCGUCUUCUACUCCUGUAAGGAAAAACAACUAGAGGGGUUAAGCAAAGUCCAGUGAGGUUCCAAAUAAAUCCAACCAUCCAAAAGCAUCAUCGCAAUCACAAUUUAACAUUAAGUAUGUCAUUUAAUAAAUAUCAUUCUAAAACAAAUAACCCGUUCAAUAAAGGAUACAGUACUGAUAUAGGCUGUAGAGGUGACUCCUGUCCGUUUCCAAACAUAACACUUACUCCUGUUUAGUGAUUCAAUGUCAUUUGCCCAAUUAAACAGUACCCAACAUUCUUCUUUCUUCUAGUGUUCGAUGAUUACCUCAAUGGGUCAUACUCGAGUAUACUAAUAAACGAUACCCGAAAACUAUCGAUCGAGCUCGAUGCUAGCCCGAAUAGGUCGAUCGUCAAUGGGAUUUGGGCCCAAAACGGUCAUGCACAGUUUUUAGUAGCAGUUAAACAAUUAAUAGCUCCUCAAGAGCAAUUAGGUCUAGCGCAAUAAAGUACACAUUCGUCUUUUAUAAAAAUAGUUUAAGUGUCGAACACAGGCACUUAGAAAUUUGCAACAAUUCACUAAUCAACAAGCAACAACAACUUUAAUGUCUAAUCACAAAUACAUACAAGUACCACUCACCAAAUCAAGUGCACAGUCACGCCUCGGUUUCGAGGUUUCCUUCUAGCUUACCAUCGACUCCUGAAACAUGCCCAAGCUACAUUUAAUAGACCUUUCAAUAUUACUAACAUUCUUUCCAACUACUAAACUCUUUAGUCUAAUCAAGUGGAAUGUCACAUAACUUCUAGUUUAGAAGAGUUAUCAAACAUGUAGGUUGAAUUAUAUAAAGUUUUAUAGCCAAAUUCUUGAAAAUAAGAUUGGAAAUCUUACCCUCACUCUCGGCCCCUUUUUAACAGAAUUUCUUACUAAGAUUACUCAAAUUCUCCAAAAACCAGUGAAUUGAUUCAUGCAUGCCCUGAUUAAAGCUUUAAAAGUUUAAUGAGUCAAAAUGUGCAAGUUUACAGCCAACAUAUUAGAGUCGAACCUAGAGUUGAGCUACCAAAUCACGGCCUAAGCAGCAAUUUUCAGUAAAAUAACAUCAUUUUUUUGGAAAUCAAGGCUAAAAUUUAACCAUGAUUCAAUGUUCGAAAAGUUUUAUCCAAAACGGUUACAUGCAUGCUAAUUUCUAAUUAAAAUCUUAACUUUCUUUCAUGAUGUAUAAAUCAUGCAAUAUAUCAUGAAGUGACUAUAAAGCAUGAAUCUCUUUGAAAAACUUUAGCAAAAUGGAAGCUAUAAGUUGGAAAACAUAGCUUCAUCCUUCGGUUCAAGCAAGAAAAUUUCCAACAAGUCUUUCUUCACUUUUUCUCACCAAAAUAGCAUCUCUCUUACUCACUUUCAACCGUAAAUCACACAAUAAUAGGCUUGUAACAUGAGAUAAGGUAUUAAUCAAGCAUUCCAGCAAAACUCAGAAAGGAAAUUUUGCAUCUAAGAGUUGAAAAUUCAAGCCUCUUCCACGGUUCAAAGCUGGAAAAAUUUCCAACAAGAGGAUAGUUUGAAGAAACAAAAUUUCUCCCCUAAAAUUCUUUAUUUUUCACUCAAAUCCAACGUGCAUGUUAAGAUUAAUGUGUUAUAAAGGAUAUUGAGCAACAAUGUGAGAUUUUUCAGUCAUAAAUCAAGGAGAAAAGCUAGUAAACUCUCUCUCUUUCACUUGGUCAGCUCAACAGAUUUUCCAACCAGGUUCUUUCAAAAUUUUUCAUCCAAGCUACUAAUUUUCUCACUCAUUUCCAUGGCAAAUAUAUCAUAUAUCAUUUUUAACAUAAGAUGAAGCAUAUGACAUGAGUUCUUAGUAAAGAAAUCUAUCAAAGUUUCAAAUACAAAGAUGCAAAUCAAAACUAUCCAUCACAUGCAUCUAAAUUGAAAUUCCAGCAACAUAUAGCUUAGAAAGUGAAUUUUUCUUUCACAAACCUCCUACAUUUUGGCUUAAAAUUAACAUACACCUAGAGUGCUCAAUAGUAAUAGAAAAAAUGAAUGGUUUAUAGCAAUUGUUACCUCCAUUUUCCUCGCAAAUCAAAGCUAGAAAAUGCAUUCACUCUUCUCCCUUAGCUCUCUCUCUCUCUCUCUGUCUGUCUUUGUUUUGGAGUAAAGAAGAAAAAUGAGGCUAAGACUCUCUCUCCUCUCGGUUCCAAAAUGCAAGCAGUUCAGUCUUCUCUCUCGGCUCUCUCUCUCUCUCUCUUUCUUGUGUGUUGAAGUGAAGAAGAAAAAUGACUUAGUCUCUCUUCUCCUCUCAGUUACAAGACAAGAAAAAGGGCAGGUUGGUUGCAUGGUAGUUUAGGCAUAUUCCCUUGGCUAUUUGGUUAUUUGACAAAAUUUUUGACACUUGGCAAGAAGUUGGACAUUUGUCAAUUGAAUAUAUUGUUUCAA